AAAGAAAUCGUUAAGGGCGUAUGGCGGAUGCCUAGGCUUUCAGAGGCGAAGAAGGACGUGGUAAGCUGCGAAAAGCUCGGGGGAUUGGCACACACGAAUUGAUCCCGAGAUGUCCGAAUGGGGCAACCCGGCAUGUUGAAGACAUGUCACCUCUUAGGAGGAGCAAACCCGGAGAACUGAAACAUCUAAGUACCCGGAGGAAAAGAAAUCGAAGAGAUUCCGUAAGUAGUGGCGAGCGAAAGCGGAUUAGCCCAAAAGCUUUUAUAUGUUUAAUAGAAUGUUCUGGAAAGAACAGCCAUAGAGGGUGAUAGCCCCGUAUAUGAAAGGCAUACAUAAGUGAUAAAUGAGUAUGGCGGGACACGUGAAAUCCUGUCUGAAUAUGGGGGUGGACCAUCCUCCAAGGCUAAAUACUCCUGAAAGACCGAUAGUGAACAAGUACUGUGAAGGAAAGGUGAAAAGCACUUCGAAUAGAAGGGUGAAAUAGAACCUGAAACCGUACGCCUACAAGCGGUCGGAGCAGAUUAAUUCUGUGACGGCGUGCCUUUUGCAUAAUGAGCCUACGAGUUAAUUUUACUAGCGAGGUUAAGGACUUAAGGUCCGGAGCCGGAGCGAAAGCGAGUCUGAAUAGGGCGCAUAGUUAGUAGGAUUAGACGCGAAACCUUGUGAUCUACCCAUGGGCAGGUUGAAGCUCUGGUAACACAGAGUGGAGGACCGAACCGGUUGACGUUGAAAAGUCUUCGGAUGACCUGUGGGUAGGGGUGAAAGGCCAAUCAAACUGGGAGAUAGCUCGUACUCUCCGAAAUGCAUUUAGGUGCAGCGUCGUAUAUAAGUUUAUUAGAGGUAGAGCUACUGAUUGGAUGCGGGGGUUUCAUCGCCUACCAAUUCCUGACAAACUCCGAAUGCUAAUAAAUGUUCUACGGCAGUGAGGGCAUGGGUGCUAAGGUCCAUGUCCGAAAGGGAAAGAACCCAGACCAACAGCUAAGGUCCCUAAAUAUAUGCUAAGUUGAAACAACGCGGUUGGACUGCAUUGACAGCUAGGAUGUUGGCUUGGAAGCAGCCAUUCAUUUAAAGAGUGCGUAACAGCUCACUAGUCGAGCGGUCCGGCAUGGAUAAUAAUCGGGCAUAAGCAUAUUACCGAAGCUAUGGGAUUAAUUAAAUUAAUCGGUAGGAGAGCAUUCUAUCGGCGCCGAAGCAGUAUCGUGAGGUAUUGUGGAGCUUAUAGAAAAGAAAAUGUAGGCAUAAGUAACGAUAAAGGGGGCGAGAAACCCCCUCACCGAAAGACUAAGGUUUCCUCAGCCAUGCUAAUCAGCUGAGGGUUAGUCGGGACCUAACGCGAACCCGAAAGGGGUAGUGGAUGGACAAUGGGUUAAUAUUCCCAUACUUGCUCACACUAAAAAGGGGACGGUUCAAUGUAGCUACUGGAGACUGACGGAAUAGUCAAGGCCUAGCCUUCGGGCGAAGCUGCUGUAGUGAACUUGGAUCCAAGAAAAGCCGAAGUGAAGCAACCCGUACCAAAACCGACACAGGUGGUCGAGGAGAGAAUCCUAAGGUGCUCGAGUGAGUCGUGGCUAAGGAACUAGGCAAAAUAGUCUCGUAACUUCGGAAGAAGAGACGCCAACAGCAAUGUUGGCCGCAGUGAAGAGGCCCAGGCGACUGUUUAUCAAAAACACAGGACUCUGCUAAAUCGAAAGAUGCUGUAUAGGGUCUGACACCUGCCCGGUGCUGGAAGGUUAAGGAAGGGCGUUAGCGUAAGCGAAGCGUUUGACUGAAGCCCCAGUAAACGGCGGCCGUAACUAUAACGGUCCUAAGGUAGCGAAAUUCCUUGUCGGGUAAGUUCCGACCUGCACGAAUGGUGUAACGAUCUGGGCACUGUCUCAGCCACGAGCUCGGUGAAAUUGUAGUAUCGGUGAAGAUGCCGAUUACCCGCAAUGGGACGAAAAGACCCUGUGAACCUUUACUAUAACUUCGUAUUGACUUUGAGUAAGUAAUGUGUAGGAUAGGUGGGAGGCUUUGAAGCAGGCACGCUAGUGUUUGUGGAGCCAACGUUGAAAUACCACCCUUUACUUACUUGGAGCCUAACUUCUUUCAGAAGGACAUUGCGUGGUGGGUAGUUUGACUGGGGUGGUCGCCUCCAAAAGAGUAACGGAGGCUUUCAAAGGUACCCUCAGCACGCUUGGUAACCGUGCGUAGAGUGUAAUGGCAUAAGGGUGCUUGACUGUGAGACCAACAAGUCGAUCAGGUGCGAAAGCAGGACAUAGUGAUCCGGUGGUUCCGUAUGGAAGGGCCAUCGCUCAUAGGAUAAAAGGUACUCCGGGGAUAACAGGCUAGUCUCCCCCAAGAGCUCACAUCGACGGGGAGGUUCGGCACCUCGAUGUCGGCUCGUCACAUCCUGGGGCUGGAGAAGGUCCCAAGGGUUGGGCUGUUCGCCCAUUAAAGUGGCACGCGAGCUGGGUUCAGAACGUCGUGAGACAGUUCGGUCUCUAUCUAUUGCGGGCGUUAGAUGUUUGAGAGGGCUUGAUUCUAGUACGAGAGGACCGAAUUGAACAAACCUCUGGUGUAUCAGUUGUACCGCCAGGUGCACCGCUGAGUAGCUAUGUUUGGAAGAGAUAAACACUGAAAGCAUAUAAGUGUGAAACUCGCCUCAAGAUGAGACAUCUUUUAAGGGUCGUGGGAGAUGACCACGUUGAUAGGCUACAGGUGUAAAGUUGGUAACAGCAUAGCCGAGUAGUACUAAUUACCCGUAGAUUUAUAGCC
rnacentral:rRNA from 1 species